rnacentral:rRNA from 1 species
UGCGUAGGGUGCAAGCGUUAAUCGGAAUUACUGGGCGUAAAGCGUGCGUAGGUGGUGAGUUAAGUCUGUCGUGAAAGCCCCAGGCUCAACCUGGGAAUGGCAGUGGAUACUGGCAAGCUAGAGUGCGGUAGAGGGGUGUGGAAUUCCCGGUGUAGCGGUGAAAUGCGUAGAGAUCGGGAGGAACACCAGUGGCGAAGGCGGCACCCUGGACCAGCACUGACACUGAGGCACGAAAGCUAGGGGAGCAAACAGG